UGACAUAUGCUCCCUGCUGGUCAGAAAUACUAUACUUCUGCGAAAGGAUGAAUCCUGGAUUGCAGAAGAAGAUGUAGUGCAGACAUGUGGCAGCAUUGGGAGACUCCUCCCACUGGAUUCUUGCUUUCAUCUGACAGCUCCCUCAACUCUACAGCUGAAUUGAAUGAAACUUGCUGCUGCUGGGCCUGAGUUUGCAAAGAAAUAGGAGAGGUGGACCUUCCGUGCCUCCGCUCCAGUUCCUGGAGUUUGCUUUUUGGUGAUGUACAAGAGCAAUCUGACUGAGAAUUCAAUAGAAUCCCUAAUCUGCCAGUCCCAGGAUUCCGAAGGAUGAAAUCAUGAUAGUUAUAGUGAAAUAAUACCACUAUUAAUAUGCCAUGUGAAUAGGCCCCAGAUCUACUUGUAAUCUAUAUGCUAUAGCAUGUAUUCCUCAGCUAUGCUAGAUUUUUUGAAAACAAAACAAAACAAAACAAAACAACCAUUGUAGAGGAAGAAGGGAUAAUGCACAGCAUCGUAAAAUUUCUUACCAAUGUGCAUGGUUCAUUACACCUGAGUGCUGCACACAGUUCAUUUCAGUGGAGCUUGCCAGCAUAAGGAAUAAAAUCAAGAUGUACAGCUUGUGUGUAUUAUAGAGUGUAUAAUGUCAAUUCCUACUUAAUUAAAUAU